rnacentral:rRNA from 1 species
UACGAAGGGGGCUAGCGUUGUUCGGAAUUACUGGGCGUAAAGCGCACGUAGGCUGAUAGUUAAGUGAGGGGUGAAAUCCCGAGGCUCAACCUCGGAACUGCCUUUCAUACUGGCUGUCUCGAGUCCGGAAGAGGUUAGUGGAAUUCCUAGUGUAGAGGUGAAAUUCGUAGAUAUUAGGAAGAACACCAGUGGCGAAGGCGGCUAACUGGUCCGGUACUGACGCUGAGGUGCGAAAGCGUGGGGAGCAAACAGG